rnacentral:misc_RNA from 3 species
AGCAUUCGUCUUCUGGUUACGGGGCCAUAGCUCAGCUGGGAGAGCGCGUGCUUUGCAAGCAUGAGGUCGUCGGUUCGAUCCCGUCUGGCUCCACCAGAUGGUUUGAUCACCGAGAUCAUGUACCGUCGUCCGCGAAACAUCACUUCGCAUUCACUAGUCUGGAUAGACAGUGAACUGCGUGUUUUCUGACAUCGUAAAGAGGAGAUCGAUCCGAGUUGGGUCGUGCAGCAUAUCGUUGCGCGAGCCUUCAUUAUCUCCGGAUCAUUUUCGGCGCUCGCUUUCAGCCGUGAGGUUGAAUGCGAGUUGUAAAAUGAUCCUUUUAGCGAAGCUUGACCGCCUCGCUAUCGGAACGAUCUUACGAAGCAAGCUGGUCUUUCUAGUCAAUGUCCGGCUGCAGAUAGCGCUCAUCGAGGGCGCGUGCCGCAAGGCAAUUCUGCAGACAACAUUCUGCCGAGUGUGUGGACAUUGAUAAUGAGAGCAAUCAAGUGCCUUAAGGGUGUUCGGUGGAUGCCUUGGCGCUGAGAGGCGAUGAAGGACGUGCUACGCUGCGAUAAGCCGU